GAUGAAGAACGUAGCGAAAUGCGAUAAGUAGUGUGAAUUGCAGAAUUCAGUGAAUCAUCGAAUCUUUGAACGCACAUUGCGCCCUUUGGUAUUCCUUAGGGCAUGCCUGUUCGAGCGUCAUUUAAACCUUCAAGCUAAGCUUGGUGUUGGGUGACUGUCCGCUUCACGGCGGACUCGCCUCAAAAUUAUUGGCGGCCGGUACAUUGGCUUCGAGCGCAGCAGAAACGCGAACUCGGGCCCGUCGUAUUGGCUCCCAGAAGCUAUCUUCACAAUUUUGACCUCGGAUCAGGUAGGGAUACCCGCUGAACUUAAGCAUAUCAAUUAAGCGGAGGA
rnacentral:misc_RNA from 1 species